rnacentral:rRNA from 1 species
GCCAGACUCCUACGGGAGGCAGCAGUGAGGAAUAUUGGUCAAUGGGCGCGAGCCUGAACCAGCCAAGUCGCGUGAGGGAUGACGGCCCUACGGGUUGUAAACCUCUUUUGUCGGGGAGCAAAUUCCGCCACGUGUGGCGGAGUCGAGAGUACCCGAAGAAAAAGCAUCGGCUAACUCCGUGCCAGCAGCCGCGGUAAUACGGAGGAUGCGAGCGUUAUCCGGAUUUAUUGGGUUUAAAGGGUGCGUAGGCGGGCAUUUAAGCCGGCGGUCAAAUGUCGGGGCUCAACCCCGGCCUGCCGUCGGAACUGGGUGCCUUGAGUGGGCGAGAAGUAUGCGGAAUGCGUGGUGUAGCGGUGAAAUGCAUAGAUAUCACGCAGAACCCCGAUUGCGAAGGCAGCAUACCGGCGCCCUACUGACGCUGAGGCACGAAAGUGCGGGUAUCGAACAGGAUUAGAUACCCUAGUA